rnacentral:rRNA from 2 species
AAAACUUUCAACAACGGAUCUCUUGGCUCUCGCAUCGAUGAAGAACGCAGCGAAAUGCGAUAAGUAAUGUGAAUUGCAGAAUUCAGUGAAUCAUCGAAUCUUUGAACGCACAUAGCGCCCUUUGGUAUUCCUUAGGGCAUACCUGUUCGAGCGUC